rnacentral:other from 1 species
ACCUGCCUGCGUUGUACGUGAUGGGUCGAGGCUCGGUUGAGCCGAUGUUUCACCCAAGCGAAUCGCGUCAGCCACGUGGUGUGCAUGCCUCCGCCGAGAGGAAGCCUGAAGCGUGGUUGUCAGCGGCUCCACCUGCUUCCGCAGGUUCAACGACCUCUCCACACGGCAACGCGGGGUUUCU